rnacentral:lncRNA from 1 species
CGCGGGGCCGGGGUGACGGUGGAGGCGCUGCAGGUGACGCGGAUGGCCGGGCUGCGCGCGGACGGGCACCCGGGCGCGUACAUGCACCCGUACCCGUUCGCCGGCGGCGCGAGGGAGCGGGUGCCCAACGACUGCGUGCACUGGUGCCUGCCGGGGCCCAUGGACACGUGGAACGAGAUCCUGCUGCAGGUCGUCAAGCGGUGGUCGGACGACGGGGUCGACGCCGGCGCCGACGCCUCGUCGUCGUCCACGUCGCCGUGAAAGAUGAAAGACACCACCACCACGGGAGGAGACUGAGAGGCCAGUCUGGAUUUUGGAGUUUGGUUGAAAUUAGUAUAGACUGUUCGAACUAGAAUGUUUACCUUAAAAAUUCUUUAGAGCGAUUCCUGGUGAAACGGCAUCGGUGAGAGGAGUUGAUGAGAUAGUGUUGUUGUAACAAAUGUUGUUGGAUCGUCUCGUAUUGAUGUUUCCCCUGCGCUUGUAGCGUUGCUCCUAGUACUGCUACUAGGAAUUACUGAGAAUCGAAUCCUAUAUAUACUGUACUCCGUAUUUAACUUGCCCUGUUUAGUUCCCCACCCAAAAAAUUUUCAUCCAUCCCAUCGAAUCUUUGGACACAUGCAUGGAACAUUAAAUAUAGAUAAAAAAUUAAACUAAUUACACAGUUUAGUUGAGAAUCGCGAGACGAAUCUUUUAAGCCUAGUUACUUCAUGAUUAGCCUUAAGUGCUACAGUAACCCACAUAUGCUAAUGACAGAUUAGUUAUGCUUAAUAAAUUUGUCUUGCAGUUUCCUGACGAGCUAUGUAAUUUGUUUUUUUAUUAGUUUCUAAAAACCCCUUCCGACAUCCUUCCGACACAUCCGAUGUGACACCUAAAAAAUUUUCAUUCCCAAUCUAAGGGCCUGUUUAGAUUGGCAAUGAAAAUUUUUUGGGUGUCACAUCGAAUGUGUCGGAAGGAUGUCGGGAGGGUUUUUUAGGAACUAAUAAAAAAACAAAUUACAUAACUCGUCAGGAAACUUCAAGAUAAAUCUAUUAAGCAUAAUUAAUCUGUCAUUAGCAUAUGUGGGUUACUGUAGCACUUAAGGCUAAUCAUAGAGUAACUAGGCUUAAAAGAUUCGUCUCGCGAUUCUCAACUAAACUGUGUAAUUAGUUUAUUUUUUUAUCUAAAUUUAAUGUUACAUGCAUGUGUCCAAAGAUUCGAUGGGAUGGAUGAAAAAAAUUUUGGUGGGAAACUAAACAGGGCCUAAACAGGCCGGUAUAUAAGGCCUUGUUCAGUUCGCAAAAACAUGUGAAAAACGGCACUGUAGCACUUUCGUUUUUAUUUGACAAAUAUUGUCCAAUUAUAGAGUAAUUAGGCCCAAAAGAUUCAUCUCGCGGUUUACAGAUGAACUGUGCAAAUAGUUUUUGUUUUCAUGUAUAUUUAAUGCUUCAUGCAUGUGCCGCAAGAUUCGAUUUGACGAGAAAUCUUGAAAAAUUUUGCGAACUAAACAAGGCCUAAAGAAAAUAAUACUGCAUGUUACGGUCCACGAGAUUGUCAGUACGAUGACACCGUGAUUACCGGAACCCACGCGGGGCGUGGCGACGUGCCCGUCACUCGCUCCGGCUCCCAGUCCCGAAACGAGCCUGGACCUGGACCUGGGGCGUCAGGUGCGGAUCGCAGCGAGCUGCCCCCGUCCUUUCCUGUUUGCUCCUCUGUAGGGAUCGGUGAAAAGUCAAACGGUGCGUCGGUGCGAGAGAACGGGAAGGGAUCACCUACUCACCUAGCAGCGGCUGCCCAGCACCCGGCACCCGGCCCGGCACGCGGCACAUGGCUCCUCGUGCCCGUCGCAUGCAUGGAGCAUUCAUCUUUUAACUUGAAGGAAACGGAAGGAAUUUUACAAGUUAAAAGAUGUGCUAGAGCUCUGGUGAGCUAGCUAAGGCCUUGUUUAGAGUCAAAAAGUUUUUAAAUUUUAACACUGAGCAUUUUAUUUUUAUUUGACAAACAUUGUCCAUGAAGUAACUAAGCUUAAAAGAUUCGUCCCACGAUCUACAGGUAAACUGUGCAAUUAGUUUUUAUUUUUAUCUAUAUUUAAUACUCCAUACAUAUGACGUAAGAUACGAUAUGACGAGAAAUUUUGAAAAGUUUUUGGUUUUUAGUGUGAACUAAAUAAGGCCCACAUCGAAUUUUUCAACGCAUGCAUUGAGCAUUAAAUAUGGAUAAAAAAAAGUAAUUGCAUAGUUUGCCUGUAAUUUAUGAGAUAAAUUUUUUUAAACUUAGUUAGUCCAUGAUUGAACAAUAAUUAUCAAAUAUAAACAAAAGUGCUACAGUAGUCCGCGAACUAAACAAGGCCAAUUUUAUAGGACCCAUGCGUGGAAGAAGAGUGAAAAUCUCGGCAUAUUUUCUCCAAUUAGAAAUGUAAAGUCUAAUAGGAUAUUAACUACAGGAUGUCUCCCUUAACUAGCAAUAUCUCAAAAGAAUAUUGUUAAAUCAAAUUGAUUAUAACAUGAAAAUAUUUUCAUAAUAAACCUAAUUAGGGUGACUUUAUGUCGCCGAUACAAACAAUAUUAUAGAUAGCAAAGUUUGGUUUAAGGCAAACCUUGCACUUCCACUAGGAAGUACAAGUACUCGUAACAAAAGAUAUGCCCACUUGCUUAUCACCGGGCACACAAAACUGAGAAACUAGAACCCAACCGAAAAUAUUGAGAACCAAACCGAAAGUACUAAAACCGAUUUUUUUUAUCUUAUUCGGUUUCUAAUUUUCCGCAACCGAAAUUACUGAGGUAAAUUCAAUAGUAUACCUCGGGGAACCAAAUUUACCGGGAAAAAAUCUACAUAACCCCCCAAACUAUCUGAGUGGAAUACUUCAUCCCAAACUAUAAAACCGGAUAUUCUACCCCCUAAACUUUCAAAACCGGUCAAAUAACCCCUAAAGUUGUUUUGGAGGGUGGUUUUGUCUUUGUCUUUUUUAUUUAUUUCCGCUGAGUCUUUGAAAAAUCACAAUAAAUCAUAAAAUCAUAAAAUGAAAAUUUUGUUAAGUAGAUCUACACAAGAAUAUAUAAUAUGGUAUACUUUAGUACAAAGUUUUUGCUGUAGCUUUAAAUCUAUGUUUUCUAUAAUUAAUAAGAAUAAUUCAUAUAUGUAGUUUCUAUGGUCCAAUUGUGGUAAAUUUUUUAUAGCGGGCUCAUUAUUGUAUGCUUGAACUAUGUUAAAAAUUUCAUACUCAAUGGAUCACGUAUAACUUAGUUAUAGAUAAAUCAUAGAUUUAACAAGAAUAAAGCUAAAUAAAUCUAUAACUAAGUUAUACGUGAUCCAAUGGGUACAAAACUUUUACCAUAGUUCAAGCAUACAAUAAUGAAGCUCACCAUAAAAAUUUCACCGCAAUUGAACCAAACGAACUACAUAUAUGAAUUAUUCUUAUUAAUUAUAGAAAAACAAAUUUAAAACUAAAAAAUGAUGUACUAAAGUAUACCAUAUUAUAUAUUCAUUGUGUAGAUCUACUCAUCAGAAGUCCAACAAAAUUGAACCUUUUAUUUUAUGAUUUUUCUGUGAUUUAUUAUAUUUUUUCAAAGAUUUGGCAGAAAUAACUAAAAAAGAAAAAGACAAAACCACCUCUAAAACCACUCUAGGGGUUAUUUGACCGGUUUUAAAAGUUUAAAGGGUAGAAUAACCGGUUUUUAUAGUUUGGGGAAUUAAAUAUUCCACCCGAAAUAGUUUAGAGGGUUAUGUAGACUUUUCCCUAUUUACCGAACUUACCGAAAUGUGCUGAGUUUGAGUGUAGUUAUAUUAUUAGUAGCACUAUUUUUGUCUAUUAUGUUUUGUAUAUGUGGUACUCUACUCAUAUAAUCUUGUGGACUUGUAUAUGCAUGUAUUUGGCACUACUAUUCUUUAUGAAAUAAUCUCUAAAUUAUAUCAUAAAUAGUUUUUGAACAUGUUAUUAUAUGUUCAUACAAUUAAUUCGGUAUUUUUCAGUAAAUACCAAAAUCAAACAAAAAAAUAUCAAAAUUAAAUUUUCUCGAUACCGAUUUUUAAAAGAAAUCUAUUGAUACCUAUUUUCAGAGAAACUGAAUUUUUAUGAGAACUGAGUACCAAAUGUCCAACGUGACUUGCUCAAGUACCAAAUGCGCAACGUGACUUGCUUAGAUCCUCAGCUUAAGAGAGUAGGAGACCCCAAAAUCUUGGGGUUUACGAGACCUUAUUUAGAUUUAAAAACUUUUUGAAUUUGAACAUUAUAAAACUUUAGUUUGUAUUUGACAAGUAUUACCAAACUAUGGACUAACUAGGCUUAAAAGAUUCGCAUCGCAAAUUACAGAAAAACUGUACAAUUAGUUAUUUUUUUAUCUAUAUUUAAUACUCCAUACAUGUGUUGUAAGUUUUGAUGUAAUGGAAAAUCUUAAAAAGUUUUUAGAUUUUGGGUGAAACUAAUUAACUAAUUUUACAAUUUGACUGUAAUUUUUAAGAAUAGUUUAUAGCCAAACAGCCGAGGCGACUCCACUUCUUGUCCUCCCAUUUCAACCACCGUCAGCCUACAGGCGAGGCGACUCCACACUCCGCUUCUUGUCCUCCCAUUCCCAUUGGCGCCUGGACUUGCUCUGGUAAACUGGAUCCCUCCAUGGGUGCCUCCAGUACUUGUCCUUGCCACCACUUGAGCUCCUCCUCCGUCCUCACCAAGCGGACCAUCGCCUUCGCGCUCUACGCCCUCGUUCCCCUCGCCCUACUCCACUACCUCCUCUCUCUUCCUCCCCCUCUCCCCCCUCCUCCCACCACCGGCGCUCCCUCCUCCCCAUCGCCGCCGCAGCAGGCGGAGGCUCCGGCAGCGCGGUGCGAUUACUCGGACGGGGAGUGGGUGCGGACCGCGGAAGGCCCUCGGUACAACGGGUCGAGCUGCGGCGAGACCAUCAAGGCCGGCCAGAACUGCGAGGCGCACGGGCGGCCGGACACGGGGUACAUCUACUGGCGGUGGCGCCCGCGCGGGUGCGCGCUGCCGCCGUUCGACCCCGCCGAGUUCCUGCGCGCGGUGCGCGGUCGCCACGUGGCCUUCGUGGGCGACUCGCUCGCGCGGAACCAGUGCGAGUCCCUGGUGUGCCUGCUCACCUCCGCGUUCCCGGCGCAGCUGGUGCGCGGCGCCGGCGGCGGCGACGGCGACGGCGACGGCGACGAGCUCCGCAAGUUCCGGCGCUGGGCGUUCCCGUCGCACAACGCCACGGUGUCGGUGUUCUGGUCACCGUUCCUGGUGAAGGGCACGGAGAGGCCCAAGUCGCCGGCCGCGGCGGGAGGGCUGGACCACAACCGGAUCUACUUCGACCAGCCCGACGAGCGGUGGGCGGCGGCGGUCCCGGGAUUCGACGUGGUGGUGCUGUCGGCGGGGCAGUGGUACCUGAACUCGGCCAUGUUCUACGACCGUGGCGCCGUCAUCGGCUGCCACCGCUGCCCGGAGCGCAACCGCACGGAGACGGGCUUCUUCGGCGUGUUCCGCCUCGCCGUCCGCAACGCGCUCCGCGAGGUCAUAACCCGCGUCGCCGCCGCCACGUCCUCCUCCUCCUCUUCCUCCUCCGCGACCGCCCGUCCCCGGCUGGCUGUGGUGACGACGUUCUCGCCGGCGCACUUUGAGGGGGAGUGGGACAGCCCGACCGCGUGCGUGCGCACUGAGCCGUACGCGCGCGGGGAGCGGGAGAUGGAGUACAUGGACCUGGAGAUGCUGCGCGCCGGGGCGGAGGAGGCCGCGGCGGCGGGCGCGGACGCGAGGGCGCGCGGGGCGGGCCUUGCGGUGGAGGCGCUGCAGGUGACGCGGCUGGCGGCGAUGCGCCCGGACGGGCACCCAGGCCUGUACACCCGGGCGUUCCCGUUCGCCGAGGGGGCGAGGGAUCGGAUGCCCAACGACUGUGUGCACUGGUGCCUGCCCGGGCCCAUCGACACGUGGAACGAGAUCCUGCUGCAGGUCGUCAAGCGAUGGGCCGACGGCGUCGGCGUCGGCGCCGACGCAUCGUAGCCAUCGCCAUGAACCAUUCUUUACAACGAGAAGCUCCAAGCU